UACGUAGGGUGCGAGCGUUGUCCGGAAUUAUUGGGCGUAAAGGGCUCGUAGGCGGUUUUGUCGCGUCGGGGAGUGAAAAACACCGGGCUUAACUCGGUGCUUGCUUUUCGAUACGGGCAGACUAGAGGCAUGCAGGGGGAGAACGGAAUUCCUGGUGUAGCGGUGAAAAUGCGCAGAUAUCAGGAGGAACACCUGCGGCGAAGGCGGGGUUGCUGGGCCCGACACUGACGCUGAGGCGCGAAAAGCCAGGGGGAGCGAAACGGGG
rnacentral:rRNA from 1 species